UAGAGAUCUUAGAAACUUUCAAAAGAUUGCU
rnacentral:piRNA from 1 species